GACCGCGUAGCUCAGUUGGCAGAGCAUUGGCCUGGUAGUCCAAAGGUCGUAGGUUCGAUUCCCACCGUGGCCA